rnacentral:rRNA from 1 species
AAUAUUGGGCAAUGGGCGAAAGCCUGACCCAGCAACGCCGCGUGAGGGAAGAAGGUUUUCGGAUUGUAAACCUCUGUCCUUGGUGACGAAGGAAGUGACGGUAGCCAAGGAGGAAGCCCCGGCUACCUACGUGCCAGCAGCCGCGGUAAUACGUAGGGGGCGAGCGUUGUCCGGAAUGACAGGGCGUAAAGGGCGCGUAGGCGGCCUGUUAAGUUAGAAGUGAAAUUCCAGUUUUCAAGGUUGGAACUGCUUUUAAUACUGGCGGGCUUGAGUGCAGAAGAGGUAAGCGGAAUUCCCAGUGUAGCGGUGAAAUGCGUAGAGAUUGGGAAGAACACCAGUGGCGAAGGCGGCUUACUGGGCUGUAACUGACGCUGAGGCGCGAAAGCGUGGGGAGCGAACA